UGCCCUAGUAACGGCGAGUGAAGCGGCAACAGCUCAAAUUUGAAAUCUGGCCCUAGGCCCGAGUUGUAAUUUGCAGAGGAUGCUUUUGGUGAGGUGCUUACCGAGUCCCCUGGAAUGGGGCGCCACAGAGGGUGAGAGCCCCGUAUGGUUUGACGCCGAGCCUCUGUAAAGCUCCUUCGACGAGUCGAGUAGUUUGGGAAUGCUGCUCUAAAUGGGAGGUAAAUUUCUUCUAAAGCUAAAUACCGGCCAGAGACCGAUAGCGCACAAGUAGAGUGAUCGAAAGAUGAAAAGCACUUUGAAAAGAGGGUUAAAUAGCACGUGAAAUUGUUGAAAGGGAAGCGCUCGUGACCAGACUUGCGCCGGGCGGAUCAUCCAGCGUUCUCGCUGGUGCACUCCGCCCGGCUCAGGCCAGCAUCGGUUUUCGCCGGGGGACAAAAGCUUCGGGAACGUAGCUCCUCUCGGGGAGUGUUAUAGCCCGUUGCAUAAUACCCCGGCGGGGACCGAGGACCGCGCUUCGGCAAGGAUGCUGGCGUAAUGGUCAUCAGCGACCCGUCUUGAAACACGGACCGAGGAGUCAAGCAUUAGUGCGAGUGUUUGGGUGUAAAACCCGCACGCGUAAUGAAAGUGAACGUAGGUGAGAGCUUCGGCGCAUCAUCGACCGAUCCUGAUGUUUUCGGAUGGAUUUGAGUAGGAGCAUUAACGCUUGGACCCGAAAGAUGGUGAACUAUACUUGAAUAGGGUGAAGCCA
rnacentral:rRNA from 1 species